AGUUCCUGUCACACGUCACAAAGG
rnacentral:miRNA from 1 species